GACGAACGCUGGCGGCGUGCUUAACACAUGCAAGUCGAACGAUGAAGCAAAGAAUUGAAGCUUCGGCAGAAAUUCAUUUCGGAUUAGUGGCGGACGGGUGAGUAACGCGUGAGCAACCUACCUCUUACAAAGGGAUAGCCUCGGGAAACCGGGAUUAAUACCAUAUAACAUUGCGACGAAGCAUUUCGAUGCAAUCAAAGCUACGGCGGUAAGAGAUGGGCUCGCGUCCCAUUAACCAGAUGGUGAGGUAACGGCUCACCAUAGUAACGAUGGGUAACCGGCCUGAGAGGGUGAACGGUCACACUGGAACUGAGACACGGUCCAGACUCCUACGGGAGGCAGCAGUGGGGAAUAUUGCACAAUGGAGGGAACUCUGAUGCAGCGACGCCGCGUGAGUGAUGAAGGAAUUCGUUUCGUAAAACUCUGUUCUAUGGGAAGAAAAGGACUGUACCAUAGGAGAAAGCUCCGGCUAAAUACGUG
rnacentral:rRNA from 1 species